rnacentral:rRNA from 1 species
AUUGAACGCUGGCGGCAGGCCUAACACAUGCAAGUCGAGCGGCAGCGGAAAGUAGCUUGCUACUUUGCCGGCGAGCGGCGGACGGGUGAGUAAUGUCUGGGAAACUGCCUGAUGGAGGGGGAUAACUACUGGAAACGGUAGCUAAUACCGCAUAACGUCGCAAGACCAAAGAGGGGGACCUUCGGGUCUCUUGCCAUCAGAUGUGCCCGGAUGGGAUUAGCUAGUAGGUGGGGUAACGGCUCACCUAGGCGACGAUCCCUAGCUGGUCUGAGAGGAUGACCAGCCACACUGGAACUGAGACACGGUCCAGACUCCUACGGGAGGCAGCAGUGGGGAAUAUUGCACAAUGGGCGCAAGCCUGAUGCAGCCAUGCCGCGUGUAUGAAGAAGGCCUUCGGGUUGUAAAGUACUUUCAGCGGGGAGGAAGGCGUUGAGGUUAAUAACCUCAGUGAUUGACGUUACCCGCAGAAGAAGCACCGGCUAACUCCGUGCCAGCCGCCGCGGUAA